UAAUACGUAGGGGGCAAGCGUUGUCCGGACUUACUGGGCGUAAAGCGUGUGCAGGCGGGUGCCUAUGUGCCGUGUGAAAGCUCUCCGCUUAUCGGGGAGAGGUCGCGGUAGACAGGGUGCCUGGAGGCUCGGAGAGGUCAGUGGAAUUCUCGGUGUAGUGGUGAAAUGCGUAGAUAUCGAGAGGAACACCAGUGGCGCAAGCGGCUGACUGGCCGAGACCUGACGCUGAGACACGACGGCGUGGGGAGCAAACCGGAUUAGAUACCCGGGUAGUCCACGCAGUAAACGAUGCAUACCCGGUGUUGGGUGGGCUGUCAAAGGCCCGCGCAGUGCCCAAGCUUACGCGCUGAGUAUGCCGCCUGGGGACUACGAGCGCAAGCUUA
rnacentral:rRNA from 1 species